rnacentral:rRNA from 1 species
AUUGAACGCUGGCGGCAGGCUUAACACAUGCAAGUCGAACGGUAGCAGGAGAAAGCUUGCUUUCUUGCUGACGAGUGGCGGACGGGUGAGUAAUGCUUGGGAAUCUGGCUUAUGGAGGGGGAUAACGACGGGAAACUGUCGCUAAUACCGCGUAGUGUCGAGAGACGAAAGUGCGGGACUGAGAGGCCGCAUGCCAUAGGAUGAGCCCAAGUGGGAUUAGGUAGUUGGUGGGGUAAAGGCCUACCAAGCCUGCGAUCUCUAGCUGGUCUGAGAGGAUGACCAGCCACACUGGAACUGAGACACGGUCCAGACUCCUACGGGAGGCAGCAGUGUGGAAUAUUGCGCAAUGGGGGGAACCCUGACGCAGCCAUGCCGCGUGAAUGAAGAAGGCCUUCGGGUUGUAAAGUUCUUUCGGUAUUGAGGAAGGUUGAUGUGUUAAUAGAACAUCAAAUUGACGUUAAAUACAGAAGAAGCACCGGCUAACUCCGUGCCAGCAGCCGCGGUAAUACGGAGGGUGCGAGCGUUAAUCGGAAUAACUGGGCGUAAAGGGCACGCUGGCGGUUAUUUUUAGUGAGGUGUGAAAACCCUGUGCUUACCUAGGAAAUUGUGUUUCUGACUGGGGAACUACAGUCGCUUGGGGGGGGGGGAAAAACUCACCGCGUAGUGGGGCAAAGCAUGGAAAUCCCGGGGGGCCACAUGAGAGUGUCGGUUUCUUCU